UACGGAGGGUGCAAGCGUUAAUCGGAAUUACUGGGCGUAAAGCGCACGCAGGCGGUCUGUCAAGUCGGAUGUGAAAUCCCCGGGCUCAACCCGGGAACUGCAUUCGAAACUGCCAGACUAGAGUAUUGCAGAGGGGGGUGGAAUUCCAGGUGUAGCGGUGAAAUGCGUAGAGAUGUGGAGGAACACCGGUGGCGAAGGCGGCUCCCUGGACAGAUACUGACGCUCAGGUGCGAAAGCGUGGGGAGCAAACAGG
rnacentral:rRNA from 1 species